UGCAGCCUGCACAGAGCGGCGCUACGGGGCGAAAGCAGAACACAUCACUUACAGGAAGGAGCAUCAAUCAAGCAAGUUGCGUCCCAUAAUUAGAUUUGGGUUUAUGUCCAUCUUCCCUGGGCAUUAAUCCGCCCUGCGAGGACGCUGGAGCUACACUACAGCGGCUCCUGAUGGAUCUGCUCAGCGCAUCUUCCUGCAGAUCAACUGGAAUCGCAGGUGCUGCCUGCAGGACGGAGAAGCUCGGGGGGUUGCCUCACCGUGCGUGUACCAGUUCGCUUUAUUCAACCAAUGAUCACGUCAUUACCUCCAUCCAACACCCGCAACCCGGGAAGUCACAAACUAUAUGAAGUCCUUGUGUCGCAUUUCCACAGAAACUUUUACAAGUUCAAUAACCAACAGACGAAAUGCGUGACUCAGAAAAAAAACUAGGAUAAAACACGAAAGCACGAUCAGACAUUCACCAGUCAAUCGCAAGUUCAGUCCAAUUGGUACAUAGGGAGUCAGAGCAGGAGGGCUUUCUGGGAGAUACUGAUUCUGAGGUUGGCGGAAGAGACAGCAGAAGUAGGAGGAAGGGAAACAAGUAAAGUGACUCUGGGAUCUGUGGGGGAAGCCUGACGUCGAGCGAAGCACCGC